CCCUGAUGCACAAGGUACCUAAUGUACUUUUUCUUUUUUUAAAAUAUUAAAAUAUUCAUAUUUCCUUUACAGUACAAAAAUUAACUUUUCUUAUAAAAAUACAAAAAUUUAAAUAUAAUUUUAUACUAAAAAUCUGUUCUUAUUUUAUUUUUUAUAAAAAA
rnacentral:rRNA from 1 species